CGGACGGGUGAGUAAUGUCUGGGAAACUGCCCGAUGAGGGGGAGUAACUACUGGAAACGGUAGCUAAUACCGCAUAACGUCGCAAGACCAAAGAGGGGGACCUUCGGGCCUCUUGCCAUCGGAUGUGCCCAGAUGGGAUUAGCUAGUAGGUGGGGUAAAGGCUCACUAGGCGACGAUCCCUAGCUGGUCUGAGAGGAUGACCAGCCACACUGGAACUGAGACACGGUCCAG
rnacentral:rRNA from 1 species